AUGCAUCCUAAAGCAAACUUAAGAACAAAAGAGAAGAGGGAGACAUCAAGGCCCAUGUACAGAAAGCUGGGGCUGCUUUUAUCACCGUGUGGGGGCAGGAGCUGUCUGCAAAGGUGGACAGGCCUCAGCCGCAGACACAGGCCUGGAGGGCCGUGGGACUGUUAGUCCAUCCACUCAGCGGACAGGACUGGACAUCUUCUGUGCCAGACUGCUGUUGCCGGAGUGAGCAAGAACAAAAAGGACGAGGUCAACAACAAAGACCCGAGAGGGCCUGGUCGCGUGGGAUUUCAGGCACCUCAGGAUCCCAGCCUCAGAGUCUGGAGGAGAAGAAUGUGACUGUGCACUUACUUGGUCAUCUCCUCUUCCACCCCAACACCCCAGAAGGUCACUUUUGGCGAUUCUAGGAGGACCAUAGAAGCCUGAUCUACCACUAGGAGGUAGGGAGAGUAACAACUGAAACAAAAGAGGGGCCAGAAGGUGGUGCAGUGGCAAUACAAUUGGACCUGCGUGGGAAGGUCCUGGGUUUGUAUCCCAAGGCCUCCCUGAACUAGCUGGGUCUGUGUGUGCCCAUGAUCCAGGCUGCCUGAGGCUGGGAGCAGAGUAUGCGUGAUGACCCUAUUGGGGGGCCUUGUUUCUCUCUCUCUCUCUUUUUUUAAGUUUUU